rnacentral:rRNA from 1 species
UACAGAGGUCUCAAGCGUUGUUCGGAUUCAUUGGGCGUAAAGGGUGUGUAGGUGGCGCCGUAAGUCGGGGUGUGAAAUUUCGGAGCUUAACUCCGAAACUGCAUUCGAUACUGCGGUGCUUGAGGACUGGAGAGGAGACUGGAAUUCAUGGUGUAGCAGUGAAAUGCGUAGAGAUCAUGAGGAAGACCAGUGGCGAAGGCGGGUCUCUGGACAUUUCCUGACGCUGAGGCACGAAAGCCAGGGGAGCAAACGGG